rnacentral:ncRNA from 3 species
GACAGAGGCCACGAACGUUGUUCGGAAUCACUGGGCAUAAAGCGCACGUAGGCGGCUAGGUCCGUCCAAUGUGAAAGCCCCCGGCUCAACCGGGGAAUUGCAUCGGAUACAGCCUGGCUUGAGGACGGUUGGGGUGAGUGGAACUCCUGGUGGAGCGGUGAAAUGCGUAGAUAUCAGGAGGAACACCGGUGGCGAAAGCGGCUCACUGGACCGUUACUGACGCUGAGGUGCGAAAGCUAGGGGAGCAAACGGG